UUGAGACCGAUUAGAAUUGAA
ensembl:piRNA 21ur-12899 ncRNA